GCUGAAUUACAUUGCCUGGGAGAAGCAUCCUUCCACCAACCCAUACCCUGGCUACUGUGGGACUCUGUUAGCAAGCACGGGAUAUCUGAAAUGGAAAGAUUUUAGCUGUGGUUCGUUGCUACCUUAUAUCUGCAAGUUCAGGGACUAGGUCUGGUGGGACGUCAGGAGCCUGAGUUUUGCGUGCCGCUCAUCAUGGACAUGGAACCAAGUGUGAAGACCUACCCUGGAAGGGGAGAGUCUCCCCUAGCCUCUAACCUGACCCCUUUCUUCUGACCAUCCCCACCCUGUUCAUUUAUUUUUAUGUUCAUUUUGUGUAUUGCAUGAAGUAAGAUUGCAGAGCGCAAUAAAAAUAGUUCAUUCCA